GAGAAUCAUCUCUCCCAGAUAAUGGCACUCUCAAACAAGUUUCCAAGUUGUUUGAAAGGCUAUUUCUUGGUCAGAAGACUCUCAAUUCCUUCUGGA
rnacentral:pre_miRNA from 1 species